rnacentral:lncRNA from 1 species
CCUUUGACACUUUGCGUGUUUUUUUUAACAAUGUACUGAAUUUAUAAGAACUUAUGAAUUGGCAAGCAUAUACCAAUACACAAAAUAACUGCAUGAAUUUGGAAUAUAUUAGAAAAUAGUUCAUAUCAAAAUCUAACAAAAAUAUAAUGCCACAAAUAAAAAUCAAAGCUCUGCUAAACAUAAGUAAAUAUCAUAAAAAAAAUCUAAUUAAACUCAACGGUAUCCUCGUCGUUCAAGAACUGAUAAUUAAAAGUUUUUCGAGUGCGAUAUCCCACUUGCUGGAGUUUUCGCACUAAUGGUUGUUGCAUGCACAACUGCCUUGCCAUAUACAAGACAAAAAUCCCACAAUCAACCAAAUCUGGUUUGUUGAGGCAAUGUCGAAACUUAAUAUGGCUUUGUGUUAUCGUGCAAAUAGAUUUGGCUUGAUUCAUCGUUGCUUCCCUCUUUUUGAAGAGGCAAAUAAUUCAUCUAUUUUCCUCUCCCGUUUCGUCAAAUCAACUGUUCAAUUGAAAAAAAAAAUUAUUGGACAACCAUGUCGGUACCU